rnacentral:rRNA from 1 species
GGAAGGUCCGGGCGUUAUCCGGAUUUAUUGGGUUUAAAGGGAGCGUAGGCCGUNUNNUAAGCGUGUUGUGAAAUGUCGAUGCUCAACAUGUGCANUGCAGCGCGAACUGUNUUACUUGAGUGCGCACAAAGGUGGGCGGAAUUCGUGGUGUAGCGGUGAAAUGCUUAGAUAUNACGAAGAACUCCGAUUGCGAAGGCAGCUCGCUGUAGCGCAACUGACGCUGAAGCUCGAAAGCGCGGGUAUCGAACAGGAUUAGAUACCCUGGUAGUCCNCACGGUAAACGAUGGAUGCUCGCUGUUUGCCUNNGACGUNAGCNGCCCAGCGAAAGCNUUANGCAUCCCACCUGGGGAGUACGCCGNCAACGGUGAACCUCAAAGG